rfam:Schistosoma mattheei strain Denwood, Zambia genome assembly, scaffold: SMTD_scaffold0000829
AUCCAACUGGCGAGUCCCAAAAUAGGACGGAGCAUGCGUCCUGGAU